rnacentral:rRNA from 1 species
UUCCGGUUGAUCCUGCCGGAGGCUACCGCUAUUGGAGUUCGAUUAAGCCAUGCGAGUCGAGAGUCUUAGGGACUCGGCGUACCGCUCAGUAACACGUGGGUAACCUGCCCUAUGCUGGGGAAUAACCUCGGGAAACUGAGAAUAAUGCCCCAUAGCCCACUACGCCUGGAACGGUGAGUGGGUCAAAGCUCCGGCGGCAUAGGAUGGGCCUGCGCCGUAUCAGGUUGUAGGGGGUGUAAAGUACCCUCUAGCCAUCAACGCGUACGGGUGUUGGGAGACAUUGCCCGGAGAUGGAUUCUGAGACACGAAUCCAGACCCUACGGGGUGCAGCAGGCGCGAAAACUUGGCAAUGCGAGCAAUCGUGACCAGGGAACUCCAAGUGCGUAGGGUAAGACCUACGCUUUUCUUGACUCUUCAAAGGUCUUGGAAUAAGGGGUGGGUAAGGACGGUGCCAGCCGCCGCGGUAAUACCGGCGCCUCAAGUGGUAGUCGCUUUUAUUGGGCCUAAAACGUCCGUAGCCGGUCUGGUACAUUCGUGGGUAAAUCAACCCGCUCAACGGGUUGAAUUCUGCGAGCACGGCCAGACUUGGGACCGGGAGAGGUGUGGGGUACUCUCAGGGUAGGGGUAAAAUCCUGUCAUCCUGAGAGGACCACCUGUUGCGAAGGCGCCACACUAGAACGGAUCCGACGGUCAGGGACGAAACCUAGGGGCACGAACCGGAUUAGAUACCCGGGUAGUCCUAGGUGUAAACGCUGUGGACUUGAUGUUGGGGGCGCUCCGAGCGCUUUCAGUGUCGAAGCGAAGGUGAUAAGUCCACUGCCUGGGGAGUACGGUCGCAAGGCUGAAACUUAAAGGAAUUGGCGGGGGAGCACUGCAACCUGAGGAUUGUGCGGUUUAAUUGGAUUCAACGCCGG